rnacentral:rRNA from 1 species
AGACGUCUACAUUAGAUACCCCCGUAGUCCCAGCCGUAAACUAUGCGCGUUAGGUGUAUCGGUGACCACGAGUUACCGAGGUGCCGAAGGGAAACCGUGAAACGUGCCGCCUGGGAAGUACGGUCGCAAGGCUGAAACUUAAAGGAAUUGGCGGGGAGCACCACAACAGGUGGAGCCUGCGGUUUAAUUGGACUCAACGCCGGGAAGCUCCCGGAUAGGACAGCAGAAUGAUUGCCGGGCUGAAGACCCUGCAUGACUAGCUG